UACGUAGGGGGCGAGCGUUGUCCGGAUUUAUUGGGCGUAAAGAGCUCGUAGGCGGCUUGUCGCGUCGUUCGUGAAAACUUGGGGCUCAACCCCAAGCUUGCGGUCGAUACGGGCAGGCUAGAGUUCGGUAGGGGAGACUGGAAUUCCUGGUGUAGCGGUGAAAUGCGCAGAUAUCAGGAGGAACACCAGUGGCGAAGGCGGGUCUCUGGGCCGAUACUGACGCUGAGGUGCGAAAGCGUGGGGAGCAAACAGG
rnacentral:rRNA from 1 species